UUUUAUGUGUCCAUAAAUCUAGUGUGUCUGUGAACCUACCAUUCUUCCAUGAUGCAUAAUGAAAUGGUUGCUUGACUUUUUCUCUGACCAGGCACUUCAUUAUUUCCUCAGCUGCUGAACUUUAGAUCUGCACUACACCAAAAAUUUGUAUUGCAAUAUAAGGUAAAUACAUAAACUUCCAGUACUCUUUUUUCAAGGUGUAUAGAUUUUUUUUAAAAAUCUGAUUGCCUCUCUUUAGGGAACGGGCUGGUGCCCAUCUUGCAAGCAUCCAUAGCAGCUAGUACCCUAGCUGAGAACUUGGUGAAGGCCUUGGUGACGGUAUGGUUCUGUAGUUGCUAUCCCCUCCUCUCAUAUUGUCGUAUUCUAAUAUUCUGAUUUGUUGCGUGUACACUAUCUAUUUUUUGUAUUUUUUAGUAUGCAAAGAUAUAAUCUGAGAGCUCCUUGACUGGAUCCUUUUCCAAUGCACUAGGCAAUCUAUGAUAUCGACGAUGCUGCCUUUGAUUGGUUUAUGAGUACUUGUGGAAAUAAAUGGAGGGAGUUCAAGGCAAAGCUAAAGGUGCUGUAUUUUAGUGGCAAAUUAACUGAUGAUGAAAUAAAGGAAAGAAAUGGGGAAAGAAUUAAUGACAUAGUGUGGAAUUUUCUUAUUAGCUAUUGAAAGUCUCCUGAAUAUGAAGGAAGUAACAGCUAACAUGAAUCCGGAGCAAGUAACUACUAACAUGAAUCUUAUCAUAAACAUUUGCAUUUAACUAUUUCUAUCACAGAGGCGCACAAAAAAGAGCUAAAGCAAAUCGUCGAAAGUUACAACUACAUCAUACAUCAGGCAGCAAGAGCUUCGCCUAUUCCGGGCAUGAAUUGAUCUAGAAAACUCUCUUUUAUAUACUGCAAUUUAAUACACUUCUACCAUGUAGUUUUAGUACUAAAAGUGAAGCACUUGUAGGGUGAUGAGUUAGGGCAUCCCCCUCGAAGAGAUGAACUCUAUCAAAACACAUACAAGAAAAAAUGGAGUUCCUUCAAGGCAGACAGCACCAAUAAUUAGUAAACUUAGAGAAAUUGUUGAAGCCCGUCCAGAGUUAAAGGAUAGAACAAUUCAGCAAGGUGAUGCAUUUGUUGCUGUUUGUGGAGAAAAGGAGCCCAGAGGACGUGUGCAUGUUCUGGGUCUAGGACCAACUCCGCAAGAUGUUGGUACCCUAGGGUUGAAGUGUGAAAGAGCAUCUAGGCCCCUAGUGAGUUUUGGUGUAUUGAUUGACAAUACGAUUAAAGGACUAACUUGUUUCAUAAGAUUAUCAGCAGGUGUUUAAUUCAGGGAUUGAUGUAAAUUGAGAUAGCUCAUGUAUUGCAAGCAAAAUGUGCAUGUCCCAUUGGCAUCAUUAUAUAUGUAAUAGGAUCGAUUGAGAAAGAAAAA